rnacentral:lncRNA from 1 species
GAAAAUCCCAUGAGGCUGAAGCAGAGUCUGGGAGAGAAAGGGGAUGCCGGCGGGUGGACAACUCCGACUGGAAAACCGAUCCAGCUCCCGGAUUUUCUCCUCCACUCGGUCCAGGGGCUUCUGGGGUCCCCUUCCCCGGAGUCCUCCACUCUCCCCAACCCUACCAGCCACUGAGUCUUUGCUAUCCCUGCGCCUCUCUAGGCAGGCAACCCGCCCAGUUUAUUUUAAGGGCUGGGCAGGAUGGUGAGUGGAAGGGUGCGUGAGAAAAGGCCGCCUAGAUUCGGACUCCGUGCUGACCAUCCUACCCGAGUGCUCUCCUCCUCUUCUGCUUUGCUGCUGAGCAGUGCACCAUGCAGGCGCUGUUGGGUCAAGAUCUUGAGUUUCUCAAAAAGAAGUACUGUGUCUGUCGGAGAGAUUCAAGAAACCCAACUUCACCUUUUUGUGGUGGUCCAGCUGAUGCUCUUAACUCUGCC